rnacentral:lncRNA from 1 species
CCGCUCUUAAUUUUUGACGACGAAGGAUUUUUUUAUACAACUAUUGUUAUUAAUAACAGAAUAAUGCCAGUUAAUAUAUUUAAUUCUUUUAUUAAGAAAUUUAUAGUACAAAAUUUAUUUCUUCUCGAUACACAGUAUAAUAUGUUAAUGAGAAGACGGAUAUAAGGAGGUGCCGUCGAGUGGCGCGGUGUGUUCUCCUCCUUGGUGUUGCUAUGUUCCGUCGUUGUCCUAGUGCUAUGUCUCAUCGUUGUCCCAGACAGAGUUGUUAGUGAACGUUGUUGUAUGGACGUUGUGUGUUUGGCUGGGAAUUAGCAGCUACCGGCUUAUGGUGUCUUCCUAAAGAAGAGCGUGUCUUUUAUGUUUUGGACUUUGCUUUUGUAUAAAAGUUUUGCUGUGAGGAAGGAGAACAUUAUUAUCUUUUUAAGCCUAACAAGUUGUAAGUUAGUAUUUGAGUUUAAUAAAGAGUUACUUACUUGUUAUUCUAAUGUCGUCUUUACGAGAAGUAGUAAAGUAUAUUCUGGAGUGAUUGGAGGAUUGGGAAUUAGGAAUACAAGUAAAAUUUAAUUGGAAGCAAAGAAGUGUGGUUGAGGGACCCCGGGGUCCGACCUUAGGUGGGAAGGCGGAACGCGCCUUCCUCGCAGUAUAAGGGGAGAGUAGUUAAGAAAGUCAAGCAGGCGUGGAGUUUAGAUUCUCGAAAGGUGCAAACCCACACAUAGCACUGCAGUAAUCUUGUUAUUUCUUACUGAUAACAAGAGAAAGUCCGUUCCAUUGA